UCUAAUGAUGUUAAAUUACAAUUUAUAUAAAAUGCUUUGUAUUAAUAUAAAAAUUCAAAAUCCACUGACAAAAAGUAUUUUGCUCUUCUUUAUGUGUGAAUGGCAUGGUUGUUUUUUUCUUCUGAUACACUCAUACCGUGUGAGGACAAGGUGCUGCAGAGAGCUAUAUUUUAUGAUAGACGGUCAUCGGUCAGACUGCGCACAUAUACCGCAGUGAUACGUUUCAUCACAGCAUGUUUCAGAAUGAGGGGGGCGCAGGAGAGGCGCUAAUUACACCCCGGGAUGCAAGCGAGACGACCGGCGUCAUGGCAGGGGAGGGGUGACUGCUCUCUCGUCCUUCUGAGAUGCCAAGGUCGUGCGCCGAGAGAAGCCUCUUCGGAAGCGUGAGUGCAGACGGUUAAAGAGAAUAAGCAUGACUUGCCAUCUUGGGCUUUAGCAUCACACCCCUCCCUCUGCUAUGGGACAUAUCUUGAUCUACACGGGGACUGGGAUUGAAUGGACAGAGCAUGAGCGCUGGUGAUGCCUUGAGCUUCCUGGGACGGCUUCCGGACCCCGGUAGUUGUUCUGGCCCUGAAACAAGAGAACAGAGACAGUGGGAUCAUUCUCCACCCUCCCAACGUAAACCGCUCACCACCAAGUACAGGCAGGACUACUCGAGAGAUGAG